GACGUUCAUGAAUUGACGAACAGAUUAACAGAAACUCGGAGUGCUUUGCAGAGAACUCAGAAAGAAAAUGAGCGUCUUCGCAAAGAUUGCAAUCUUGCCGUUUCAUUGCUGGAAUGUAACGCUGGGAAUUUCAAACAACAAAAAGCUGAGCAGCUUCCAAGAGAACUUCAAA